GAUAAGUUCAAGUGGGUUUUAAAAUCCAGCCCACUACCCCACCAAGCCCACAUCUCUUUUGUGUUAAAAUAUAAGUUGGAGGAAAAAUAAUUAGGGUUUUGGGAUAAGAAGAGUUUCAUCACUAAGGAGGCUAGGGUUUUAUCAAAGAGGCUAAGAGGUUUUUCCUUGGAGUUUAGAAGAGAUACAUUUGAAGAGGCAACCAAUUGUUCCAGAGCUUACGGAAGAUUAAAGUGUUCAACUGUGUUCAGAAGUAUUAGCAAGAGAGAUUAAAGUUUAGUUGGGGGAACAGAACCUUUGGAUUGCUUCGUAAGGUGCAAGGUAGAGCGUGGGAGUUUUAGGCAACGUUAGUAUUACUUGAAGCCUUAAAGGAUUUUAGUUACCCUUAAUUUGUAAUUCAUGUUUUUGUUAUGGUGGAGAUUAAUUUUUCGUUUGUGGAGUUUAGAUUUUUUUGUAAGAGAUUUUUAAAAGUACUGUUUCUUUGGAGUAUUGAAUUAUUUUGGAUUAAUUAUGCUUGAUAAGUCAUGUAAGAUUAGCAAGUUAGUCAUGUAUCUAAAUUCAUGUUCCAUGGAUUUGGGUCGUG